GGGCGGGGCCGGCCGGGGCGGGGCCGGCCGGGGCGGGGCCGGCCGGGCGGGCGCCGGGGCGGGGCCGCGGGCCGGGGGGGGGGCCGGGUGGGCCGGGGCGGCCUGUGGUCAAGACUGGGCGAGGCCUCCCAGGACUGCGCGGGUGGAGCCUGGUUUCUGUUGUCUACAAGAGCCCACACAGGCAUCUGCUGCUGAAAAUUCCUGGUCAUAUCAUCCAAGACAUGAUGUCUGAGACAAAGGAGGUUAAAGUGCUGGCAUCUUGCCUCGUCAGACCACAUGGAAAACGUGAUAUUCAGGCCUAACGUUUGAUGAACUCAACUGUGUGCAGGCGGUGGCUGGGUGUCUGGAAACCAUCCCUCGGACUGAGGAAGAAGUCAAGCAACUGUGCAGGUUGGAGGGACAUAGGGACCAUUUGCUGACA
rnacentral:lncRNA from 1 species